UACGGAGGGUGCGAGCGUUGCUCGGAAUUAUUGGGCGUAAAGCGUACGCAGGCGGCUCGGUAAGUCGAGUGUGAAAUCCCGAGGCUCAACCUCGGACGUGCAUUCGAUACUGUCGAGCUUGAAUGCGGGAGAGGGAAGCGGAAUUCCUGGUGUAGAGGUGAAAUUCGUAGAUAUCAGGAGGAACACCAAUUGCGAAGGCAGCUCGCUGGGACGUUACUGACGCUGAGACGCGAAAGCGUGGGGAGCAAACAGGG
rnacentral:rRNA from 1 species